UGGGCAAAUACCAGAGUGGCCAAAUGGGGCAGACUGUAAAUCUGCUGUCUUUCGACUUCGGUGGUUCGAAUCCAUCUUUGCCCACAUU
rnacentral:tRNA from 1 species